rnacentral:ncRNA from 1 species
UCAAUCAGAGGGCAAACCCGUUGAAAAGCGGGGACGCAAAGCCACCGGCCUACCGCGCGCAAGCGCCACGGCAGCGGGGUUGCCGGA